AGAGUUUGAUUCUGGCUCAGAACGAACGCUGGCGGCGUGGAUAAGACAUGCAAGUCGAACGAGAGAAUUGCUAGCUUGCUAAUAAUUCUCUAGUGGCGCACGGGUGAGUAACACGUGAGUAACCUGCCCCCGAGAGCGGGAUAGCCCUGGGAAACUGGGAUUAAUACCGCAUAGUAUCGAAAGAUUAAAGCAGCAAUGCGCUUGGGGAUGGGCUCGCGGCCUAUUAGUUAGUUGGUGAGGUAACGGCUCACCAAGGCGAUGACGGGUAGCCGGUCUGAGAGGAUGUCCGGCCACACUGGAACUGAGACACGGUCCAGACACCUACGGGUGGCAGCAGUCGAGAAUCAUUCACAAUGGGGGAAACCCUGAUGGUGCGACGCCGCGUGGGGGAAUGAAGGUCUUCGGAUUGUAAACCCCUGUCAUGUGGGAGCAAAUUAAAAAGAUAGUACCACAAGAGGAAGAGACGGCUAACUCUGUGCCAGCAGCCGCGGUAAUACAGAGGUCUCAAGCGUUGUUCGGAAUCACUGGGCGUAAAGCGUGCGUAGGCUGUUUCGUAAGUCGUGUGUGAAAGGCGCGGGCUCAACCCGCGGACGGCACAUGAUACUGCGAGACUAGAGUAAUGGAGGGGGAACCGGAAUUCUCGGUGUAGCAGUGAAAUGCGUAGAUAUCGAGAGGAACACUCGUGGCGAAGGCGGGUUCCUGGACAUUAACUGACGCUGAGGCACGAAGGCCAGGGGAGCGAAAGGGAUUAGAUACCCCUGUAGUCCUGGCAGUAAACGGUGCACGCUUGGUGUGCGGGGAAUCGACCCCCUGCGUGCCGGAGCUAACGCGUUAAGCGUGCCGCCUGGGGAGUACGGUCGCAAGAUUAAAACUCAAAGAAAUUGACGGGGACCCGCACAAGCGGUGGAGUAUGUGGCUUAAUUCGAUGCAACGCGAAGAACCUUACCUGGGCUUGACAUGUAAUGAACAACAUGUGAAAGCAUGCGACUCUUCGGAGGCGUUACACAGGUGCUGCAUGGCCGUCGUCAGCUCGUGUCGUGAGAUGUUUGGUUAAGUCCAGCAACGAGCGCAACCCCUGUUGCCAGUUACCAGCACGUGAAGGUGGGGACUCUGGCGAGACUGCCCAGAUCAACUGGGAGGAAGGUGGGGACGACGUCAGGUCAGUAUGGCCCUUAUGCCCAGGGCUGCACACGUACUACAAUGCCCAGUACAGAGGGGGCCGAAGCCGCGAGGCGGAGGAAAUCCUAAAAACUGGGCCCAGUUCGGACUGUAGGCUGCAACCCGCCUACACGAAGCCGGAAUCGCUAGUAAUGGCGCAUCAGCUACGGCGCCGUGAAUACGUUCCCGGGUCUUGUACACACCGCCCG
rnacentral:rRNA from 1 species